AACAGUUUCUCGGUAUUUCCAAACUUUUCUUAGACUCAUUAUUCUUCUCCUAGUGCUUGUGCUUGUGGAAUUCUAUGUCUUUUUACAAUAUAAUAAGGAAUGAUAAGGAUAAACUCCAUUUGAAAAGAAAAGAAAGCCUUGUGUGGAGCAUCAACCCUUUUAUUUGUUCGCUGGCUGUCUAGUGUCACGAAAGUAGGCGUGUAUCGAGGACAGCACAG